CCCGCAACGAGUGCAACCCUUGUCAUUAGUUGCUACGCAAGAGCACUCUAAUGAGACUGCCGGUGACAAACCGGAGGAAGGUGGGGAUGUCGUCAAGUCCUCAUGGCCCUUAUGGGUAGGGCUUCACACGUCAUACAAUGGUACAUACAGAGGGCCGCCAACCCGCGAGGGGGAGCUAAUCCCAGAAAGUGUAUCGUAGUCCGGAUUGUAGUCUGCAACUCGACUGCAUGAAGUUGGAAUCGCUAGUAAUCGCGGAUCAGCAUGUCGCGGUGAAUACGUU
rnacentral:rRNA from 1 species